GACGUAGGAGGCGAGCGUUGUCCGGAUUCAUUGGGCGUAAAGAGCGCGCAGGCGGCUUGGUAAGUCGGAUGUGAAAUCCCGAGGCUCAACCUCGGGUCUGCAUCCGAUACUGCCCGGCUAGAGGUAGGUAGGGGAGAUCGGAAUUCCUGGUGUAGCGGUGAAAUGCGCAGAUAUCAGGAGGAACACCGGUGGCGAAGGCGGGUCUCUGGGCCGACACUGACGCUGAGGAGCGAAAGCGUGGGGAGCGAACAGG
rnacentral:rRNA from 1 species